AGGAGAAAAAAAAAAGUGGAGACAACGUUUUGGUUCCUCUCUGAGCCUUUACCAAGUCCUUGAUAAAGGAUCAGAAGAGAGCGGAAACAUUGUCUCCACUUUUUUUUUUUUUU